GCGUUGUCCGGAUUUAUUGGGCGUAAAGAGCGUGUAGGCGGUUAGAUAGGUCUGCUGUGAAAACUCCAGGCUCAACCUGGAGACGUCGGUGGAAACCAUCUAGCUAGAGUCCGGAAGAGGAGAGCGGAAUUCCUGGUGUAGCGGUGAAAUGCGCAGAUAUCAGGAAGAACACCCGUGGCGAAGGCGGCUCUCUGGGACGGUACUGACGCUGAGACGCGAAAGCGUG
rnacentral:rRNA from 1 species